UACGUAGGUGACGAGCGUUGUCCGGAUUUACUGGGCGUAAAGAGCGCGCAGGCGGUCGAUCAAGUCGAGUGUGAAAGCCCCCGGCUCAACUGGGGAGGGUCAUUCGAUACUGAUCGACUCGAAGGCAGGAGAGGGUAGUGGAAUUCCCGGUGUAGUGGUGAAAUGCGUAGAUAUCGGGAGGAACACCAGUGGCGAAGGCGACUACCUGGCCUGUUCUUGACGCUGAGGCGCGAAAGCUAGGGGAGCAAACGGGG
rnacentral:rRNA from 1 species